UACGUAGGGUGCGAGCGUUAAUCGGAAUUACUGGGCGUAAAGCGUGCGCAGGCGGUUUUGUAAGCCAGAUGUGAAAUCCCCGGGCUUAACCUGGGAAUGGCAUUUGGGACUGCAAGGCUGGAGUGCGGCAGAGGAGACUGGAAUUCCGCGUGUAGCAGUGAAAUGCGUAGAUAUGCGGAGGAACACCGAUGGCGAAGGCAAUCCCCUGGGCCUGCACUGACGCUCAUGCACGAAAGCGUGGGGAGCAAACAGG
rnacentral:rRNA from 1 species